CAUCAUUCCUGCCUGACACCGAUGUCUCUUGUGUUGGUGCUGAUGUCCUAUCCCGCCUCCAAGCAUCCAUCACCCUCACUGCAGAAGGCCAGGUUCAAUUAAAUACACCUUUGUCACGAAAAGACACUACAGUUCUUUGUUCCCUUCCCAUUUUACUGUGGAGAUGAUCUACCCACAACAGAACAAUGCUCACUUAAUCUUCUUUGCUAUCUAGCAGAACAAGG